rnacentral:lncRNA from 1 species
UUUUGGUCCCUGUGACUUUGGUUGUCUGCAGGGUGAGGUCAUUUUUGGUCCCUGUGACUUUGGUUACCUGCAGAGUGAGGUCAUUUUUGGUCCCUGUUGCUUUGGUUGUCUGCAGAGUGAGGUCAUUUUCGGUCCCUGUGACGUUGGUUGUCUGCAGGGUGUGGUCAUUUUUGGUCCCUGUCACUUACCUACAGGGUCUGGUUAUCUUCACUCCCUGUCACUCAUGCCUCCCAAGCUCUCACAAAACUGGACUUUUGUGAGGAAAUAGUGAAGCCCUCAAUGCAGCCCUGUCAGAGAACACGGAAGAACAAAAUCUUUGCACAUCAUGUUUGUUGAAUAAAUUGUUUAUUCCUCAGGACACUUGACCACAGUAAAAUGUCAUAUUUUAAAUUUUUUCUUUCAUCGGCCAAGCUUACAAAAGGUGGACCCUCUGCUAGAGUUAAAUGCAGUGGGCAGAUGCCUCAUGCAGAGAAGGCUGGUCUUGCUUGGUUAGAUGAGGCUGGUUUCACCUGGAUUACAGGACACUGAGUCAUUAGUUUCAUUUGUCCCUUCAAAUGCCUACCCAGCUGUUUAUGAAGUAGCCACUGCAUGCUAGGAAAUGCAGGAGCAAAUCGUGACAACAUCCAGGCCCUGCUACCAAGAAGCCCUUGGGCUGGUGGAAACGGUGGUUCAGUGGCUGAGACACAAGCUGGUGAAGGCUGACAACAGAAGCGAGAGACUGAGGCAGGUGUCUCAAUCACUGAGAGGUGUGAUGCCAGCUUUUGGACAUGUCCUGGAAAAACCUGACCCCCCCACAACACAUCUACAACUGCUGUUCCGAAGAGGUUUUCAGGAGGGUUAGUAUUGAUGUUCCCUUAUGAUGAGGGGGCCUGUAGAGAGAAGGGCAGGCAGGUGGCAGGGGCAUGACUACACUUCCCUGAGACCUUGGUACCUAGCAAAUCUAUGUUUUGAGAGCAGCAGGAGGCAGCCAAAGGCCCACGCAGGUGGGGCAGGUCCCUGGUGAAAUCCCACAUCCAAGCCAAAGACAGUUUAAAGCCUGGAAACCAAGCUACAAGUUAAAUCCUUGGACCAGAUUGAGGACUUGUCUUGCCGUUCAGCUUUCCCCUGAUUGGUCCCCACCCUUCACCUAUUUUAUACAUACCCACCCUUUCCUAAUUGGUUUCUCUACACUAUCGUGCCCACCAUUGAGUGGCGUCUUCACUUUAAACUUUUCUGCAUACUCACAAACCAGUCAGCACACACUCCCCAUUCUGAGUCCAUAAAAGACCCCAGACCAGCCACACGGGGGUACUUUCUGUUUUCGGGUAGGGGACCAACCCCAUGUUCCCUCUCUGCUGAAGACAAUUUUCAAUGCUCAAUAAAAUUAUUCUCUGUCCUUAUCAUCCUUCAAUGUUCAGCAUAUUCCCAUUCUUCCUGGGUGCAAUGCAAGAGUUCGGGAACUGCCAAUGUGGGUAUAAACUGUAAGACAGGUGAGCUGGGACACACUAGUGUGGCUGAGCAAGGCCUGUGUGUGGAGUUGCUGCCUGGGGGUUCCUGGCUUGCAAAGUGACUGAGAACAAAAAUCCUGCAUCAUUUUGGAGGCUCUCCCUGAAGGGUAAGUAAAUGAAGACUUAAACUCUUCACCUUUUUCUGAGACCUCUUGUCAUCAAACUUUUUUCUGAAGGCAGAUGAGGCACCGAAGCUCUGGUGAGUCAAUUAGGAAGGAAUGGUGCCUUAGAGAGGACAGGAUGCAGCCCUCCCGCCUCUCUCUCCCUUUUGGGUGAAAGGAGUGUUGGCUUUGUUUCCCUUCACAGAGUUCUAGCUGUCACAGGGGAUUGGAAUAAGGUCCUGGGGCAACUGAAGGCAUCUGGCCAAGGCCACUCCUGGUGUUGCUGGAAGGCCCCUAGAGUACCUCUGUCCCUGACUGCCCAUCAGUGUGUUGGCCAAGACCCCCAGACUUUUCUAUGGUAUUUUUCCUUCCUUCUUUCAUGGUUUGAAAUGGCUCCUGUCUCUUUGUUUAAACUGUUAAGGGUAUUGCUGCAAACUGCAGAGUUAUUACCAGGUAGAAUGAGCGUUUGGCCCAGCCAUCAGAUACGCAAUUCAGAACAAUGUGAUUUCUGUCUCUUCUUAGUGGCACGUUCUCCACCCCCGUCCUAAUGGCCGCAGGCAUGCAUGAUGGAUGGACAGGUACACAGUGGCUCCCUGCCUCCCUCCCUUCCCAGCUGCGGUGCGUGCCCAUGUCCACCGCAUGCACAUGCUGCGUCCAAUGGCCUCAGGAUGGGAGUGAGCCGCAGCUGCCGCCCAGGCCCGAGGGUGAUCUUAAGGGCUAGGAGCCCUGUGGGGCCAACUGGCCAGUGUUUCCCACCCUCUACACCCUCCCAGCAUGUGCCCACAGAGUCUUUUCCUUGCCUGGCAGAGCGGUCCAGCUUAGUCUGAACCAGAAGGAGCAAACAACAACUUAACGUUUUACUGUGUUGAAGGAACCCAUUUGCAUAGAGCAAGGGUUUUUUUUUUUUCCUCCAGGCACCUUCCUGCCCCUUUAUUUAAGCUCUUUUUUCUUUUCUCCACCAUGUCAGGAGUUAACACAACCCUGCGAAUACAGGGAGAUUUCCCAUGUGAGAGGUGUUUUUGGAAAGGUGUCCUACUAGGCCAGGACCCCAAUUCAUGGGACCCCCUUUUCUCUCCCUUGUUUGAGGAGGACACCCAGCUCCACAGCUUCGCCUUAGGCUUCGACUUGUGGGGAGGCAGCAGCAGAGGAGCGACCCCACCGGCUGCUGGCUGCAGCCUGGUGAGGACCGCCUGGGUCUUAGUGAGUCCACGAGCCCUCCCAAGACACAUUUUUGCCCCAAACUCAAUUCCAUGCCUCUGGUUGAAGUCCUAGUAAGGAAAACUGGAUCUAAGGAAUCCAGAGGCAGAUCACAAAGGAAGCCAAGGGGCACAGCACAGGUAAGCAUGACUAAUUCCUGCCAAUUAGGCCCCCCCAUUUCAUGGAUAGAGGUCAUAUUAGUAUCCAUGGCACAUAUGAGGUCUGGGGAACUCAAAGGUUACCUACAGCAGCGGGGACAGGCAGUGUGUGGGUGAGCAUAGAUAAUUCCCACCCCAUAGGCCCCCUGUUAACAUGGAUGAAAGCUGCAUUGGCACCCAUGGGCAGCAUCCUGCCAAGGUCGCUGGGACUCAGGGAUAUAAGGAUGGAAGAAGGAAGGGGGAUGCCUCUUUUUUCUGUCUCUCAUGUGCCCUGGGCAUUCACUGGGAAGUGAAAAGAACUAGGGACACCUUGUUCCCCUCUUUCUGGUUGGAUCACUAAUCAUCUUCAGUCUUUACUUCUCUCAAAUGCCUCCUGAAUCACUGGGAUUCCUUUGAAAAAACGCCUUAUUUUUCUUUUUUCCUCCUCUGUCCUCCCUUUGUGGGUGGGUGAUUUUGUUCCCGUACCAUAGGACACUCCCCACGGAUCCAUCCCCAAACCUUAAACUGCUUAGCUUAAAAUAGAGGUUGGGGGAAGGGAACCCAGAAGCCUGACAUGCCAGCAAAGGGUUAAAAGUUUUUUUUUGACUAGUCAGACUUCUGGACUCUCUCUCCCUGUGCAAACCAGUUAAAUGAAUGAUAAAAAUCACUGUUUAUAUUCUCUGUAAAUGGAAAAAAGGAUUUGUGAGGCUAGUCUUAAGCUGUAGCCAAUCUGGUGUGCUUUGUGUCUCUUUCUGUGUGGUUCUGUCAUAAAGAAGGGUACUUCAGGAUAGAAUGGGGGCCUACAACCAUAUAAUCCUGCUGUUCAGGCCAGCCCAGCAAACUGGUCAGUAACAAACUUUGCUGUAGUUCUCCAUCUUGUUUUACAUCCUUGGGAGCUUGACCUCAUAACCACGUGGCAGUACUUUCUUUUGCUCUCUGCCAUUUUACAAUGGUGGCCCAGGUUCAAUCCUGACUUAGGGAAUGAGUACUUUCUGGUUAAUAUAUGUGUGAUUUUUACCAUUUGCUGAUUCUCUUCCCCUCCAUGAACAACUUCUAGCUUCCUCUCUUAAAUCUUCCUUUCUCUGAGCUACCUUCAAAGAUGCUAGAUUUUGUGAAAACUGCUUACCACCUCUUUGAAAAUACCUCAUACACUUGUGGUUAACUCAUAACCGUAGUUGAGGCUUGUUGGUUUCACCUGUGAGGUUACUUCUGGUAAAGUUCAAAAGCCAGAAAUAUUGGCCACUUGGCAAGACUAAAGUUGGGUAACAAGAGAUUUUUUCUAAAGAUGGUUUAUAAUCAGUUAUAGGACUUUGACAGGUGCUCCCAAAUGCAGGUUUCUGAUAACAUUGGAGAUUGUGACAUUGGAAUAGAAGAAAACACACAUAACUCGUAAAGAGCUGAAAUGUUCAUGAAUAUCAAGCAGAACAAGAAUUAAUGGAAUGGACUGAACUAAUAGAAAACUGAAGUAAUGUUUCUAACUUUUUGCUUAAAAUGUUGGUGAUUCUUGUUUUGUUUUUCAGAGUCAAGGAAACUUAUUUUGAGCUAUUUACAGCCUUUAAUAAUUGAGAUGCAAUUGUAGAAACUGGUUGGUUGUUUUACCAAGGCUUUGACUGGAAAGUUGUGCUUCCCUUUAAAGAAUCAAGCUUGAUAUGCAGACCCAAUAAAAGCCCCUUGAGAAAACUGGCCUUCAUACCUUGUCAACACAGUCCUGUAUAGGGUUCUUAACCUGUGGUGAGUAAAGAAUGUCACUUUCUAAUAGGCCCAGGAGCCCCAUGUUAUCUUGAAACCUCCGUAAGAGGAAGUUACCCAACUCAUAGGUAUUUGAGGGUAAAAACCCAUGGCUGGGCUCGACUUUAAAAAGUCCUAUCUGAGAUUCUUUGUGGAACAGAGCUCCAUCAAAGCCAAUUUUAAAAGCUUAUGUGAAAAAUAAUUAUUCUUGCUGCACUUUAUGCAAAUGAUCAGUCCAAGUGGAAGACUAAAGUUUAUUUUGCAAACAACUCAGUCCUAUCAUGAUUUGUUUUUGACAAAAAUAAGACUAAAGAGAGAGAAAUUAUGUUUCAAAACUCACCAUAUAGUAGUCAUUAAAUUCCAAUGUCAUCAGUUGUUUUUAAGUUUUUGCUUACAUUUUAGACUAACCCUGCUUAUUCCUGUGAAGCAAACAGUGAUCUCUGGCUGCAGUUCAGAAGAAAGAGAAGGGAUGGGUAAUGCAAAAAUCUGGACCAAUAUUCUAGUUCUAAUUAUUGUGCAAAUCCUGCCAGGUGAUGGGAGUAAAUAGGGUGCCUAUAACCCAGAGGUUUCCUUUUUUGGGAAGAUAAGACCAAGGGAGCUAACCAAAGCUGAGUCCCAUGCACUUAUAUCUUAGCAGGCUUAACUAUAACCACUAGUUAUCCAUGCAUGCCAGCAGCCUUGGUAUUUUUGAGCUGUCCUUUACCCCUUGUUUCAUUUUGAUUCAUGUCCUCUAAUAACUCAGUUUGUCUCUUUUCACCUUCAAGCCAUCAAACUCCAAAUGCUCAUAUAACCGGAACCUCGGACAAUGGUCCCUUCUUCCGGGGACCCUUAGAUAGGCCUCGGAGGAAGCUCUGACUACUGUUUCCCAAAACAGCACCCUCCUGUCAGCAGGAAGCAGUGAAGACUGGUCUUUGUCCUUAUCCUCAUCCUUAUCCGAAUGGCACUUAGAUGUACUUCUUUAGAAAUUGGGCAUGACAGCAGCAGGAGGCAGCCAAUGCCCAGGCAGAUGGGGUGGGUCCCCAGUGAAACCCCACCUCCAAGCAAAAGACAGUUUAAAGCCUGAAAGCCAAGCUACAGGUUAAAUCUUUGGAUCAGAUUGAGAACUUGUCUUCCUGUUUGGCACGCUUUCCUCUGAUUGGUCCCCACCCUUCACCUAUUUUACAUUUACCUACCCUUUCCUAAUUGGUUUUUCUAUGCUGUCAUGCCCACCUUUGAGUGGUGUCUUCCUUUAACCUUUUUUGGAUUCUCACAAACCAAUCAGCAUUCACUCCCCAUUCUGAGUCCAUAAAAGGCCCCGGACCCAGCCAUAUGGAGGAACUUACCCACCUUGGGUAGGAAGACCAACCCCACAUCCCCCCUCUACUGAGAGUUAUUUUCAGCACUCAAUAAUAUUCUUUUCUGCCCUUCUCAUCCUUCAAUGUGCAGAGUAUCCUCAUUCUUCUUGGGCAUGGUACAAGAACUCAGGAACCACCAAACAUGAUACAAGCUAUAACACAGGCCAGUUGGGGCAUGCCAGCAUGGCCGAGUGGGACCCAGGUGGAGCACUGCCAGCUGGGGCUCCCUGCUCUGCAACGUGACUGAGAAUAAAAAUCCUACAUUGGUUUUACGUAACAGAAGGUGAACAUCUGAUAAGAAAGGGUGACAAAAGGAAAAGUCAACCAUGCAGAUGUCUCUGGGUAUGUGGGGGAGUGACUGGUCUCACCUUGACUUUAUUCUGCACCUGGGCAGGUGGGUUUGUAAUUGACACGACCAGUGUGCAACUGAACAGACUUUAGUUUUAGGAGCUGGACUUAGACUGCAGUCCUAAAGUUUCAAUUGGCCUGUCCUCAUUCAUGAGAGGCCAGCAGAGAAUUCACGCAGGGAUCAUCUGUGUGGGCAGCUUUUCCAGAUGCCUGAGGCCUUUCCCAUUCUCUUUGGGUCUGGCUGAUACAUGAUGUUAGUGACAGUCAAUUCAUUUGGAAGAGGGAGUGCAAUGACUUUCCCUUUUGCAUAAGAAGUUUUGGGGGUACUGAGAUUUUUAGUUUCCUUUACAAGACCUUCCCGCAAAUAAGUACAAGAGGACCCAGAGUGUGGGGUGUCUGGCUGUCUGAGCAGUUGGGCCACUGACGCUGAGGACAAUGUGAGAAAGCCUGUCCUGGUGGAAGGGAGAGCAAAGGUGGAGAGAAAAUGCAUUUUAUGAGCAGAUAACACAUUUUUGGAAUGGCUACUUUAAACAUUGUGGAUACAGAUUCACAGAGACUAUUUUUAGAUGAAUUAUUUCUUCUAUUUACCAUACUGAUUUGCUGGAAGAAAGAAAAACAAUAUUUUAAAAAGGGAAAACAUUCUUUAAAAGCAGUGACUCUAAAUUUCCCCUGAAGAGCAAAAUGCUGUCUGUGUCUCACUCAAUGUGGUGGCUGCUACAGGAGGAUCUUCCCAGGCCUUCUCAGGGAAUUCCCAUCAGGAUCACAGGAAUGGUACCUGGCAGACACAACCCAGUCUGCACCUUCCAUGGGCCACAGCUGAUGGUACGAGGAGAGGUGUGACAUCUGCCUGACCUCAGUUGUCUCUCUCACAACUCAAGUGGAGCCUGAGGAAUAACAAGAGCUCAUUAAAUAUCUGUUGCAUGAAUGAGUGAAUAAAUGAAGGGAGGACUUUUAUGAAAACACUUCUUUACAUCUGGAAAUGUUAC